rnacentral:rRNA from 1 species
GGUCAAGCUAUAACGGGCUCACGGUGGAUACCUAGGCACACAGAGGCGAAGA